UGGGAGCUGUGCUUUGGAAAGCCUAGGUGAAUAGGUGCUCCCCAGCGCUGGAGUGAGCUGAGGACCUUGUUCCUGCAGGAGAAUCAGGGAAGGACCCAUUUGCCUGUUAAGAACUCUUCAUUUGCUAAUACAACUGCGUAGUGAAAGCAAAAGAGCCAAGUAUCCCAUCCAUGGAACCCUUGGGUUGAAUGUGUGUCCUGCUGGGCUUCAGUCUUGCUUUGGUCGAGCCUUUCCUGGUGAGGAACACCUUGCCACAGACUUCCAUCACCAGGAACUCCAGCAGGCUUUCCCCAGUGAUGACAGCAGUUGUUUGAAAGUGUGAACCCAGAUGAACAUCUUCUUCUCCCUUGUCUCUGUAAGUAUGAAUACAUUGCGCACUGGAGGUUGAACUUAAGAGCCUCCUAUCUCAGCUUCCUGAGAGCUGGGAACCAGAUAAACACUACACACCACUAGACUGGCUUUUAUUAGUCCCUAGGGCUGUGCAAAACCCUCCCAACUCCUUUUUAUUAAUUCUUGAUUCUGUCCCCCCAUUUUUUUUUAAAAAGAUACAUGCCUACCUUCUUGAGUAAGCCUUCACCAUCUCAUUAAUGAUUUCCCUUUUGUUGAAUAAAGUGCUUUGAAAUAUG